AUUGAACGCUGGCGGCAGGCCUAACACAUGCAAGUCGAACGAGUGGCGGACGGGUGAGUAAUGUCUGGGCAACUGCCUGAUGGAGGGGGAUAACUACUGGAAACGGUAGCUAAUACCGCAUACCAUGGGAUGUGCCAAGAUGGGAUUAGCUGGUUGGUGGGGGAAAGGCUCACCUAGGCGACGAUCCCUAGCUGGUCUGAGAGGAUGACAAGCCACACUGGAACGGAGACAAGGGCCAGACUCCUACGGGAGGCAGCAGUGGGGAAUAUUGCACAAUGGGGGCAAGCCUGAUUCAGCCAUGCCGCGUGUAUGAAGAAGGACUUCGGGUUGUAAAGUACUUUCAGCGGGGAGGCGUUACCCGCAGAAGAAGCACCGGCUAACUCCGUGCCAGCAGCCGCGGUAAUAC
rnacentral:rRNA from 1 species